CACUCAUUUUCCCAAAAUUUAACCCCAAAUCUUUAGAGAAUUAGAGUUUAGAGUGACGCUUCUUCUUCUCCUCCUCCAACGCUUUGGAGUAGAGACCAGAACGGAAUCACGGUCACGGAGAGAGGCAGAGUGUAGAGCUCCGCCGGCACACCAUCCUCUUCAUAUAAAACACCAGGUUGAAUGGGACACUGAGUGAUGAAUUCAGGGCCAUCAGACCAUGGAUAUCUUGGUUGGUUCACUCCAUGCCAGUGAAUGGGCAUAUGAGCAUCUUGUUCUUGUGCAUUAUAGAGAAACAAGUGAGAUUGGGAUUUGAAGUUGCAGCAAACCAUGGUGGAAAAGUUUCCCUUGAACUCAGCUGAUGCAGCAUACACAAAAAUCAGAGGAAUGCUUUCUACCCUGGCGAUCCAUUCACUCGGAUUAUCAGUCCAAAGGAAUACCAAGGAUUUAGAAUUGGAAGUGAUGGGAACUUACAAGGAGUAGGCCUCUUCAUAAAUAUUGAACCAAGAACUGGACAUUUGCAGCAUGUUCAGCAACCUGAAAAGUUCAGACUUACGAGACAGACUUCCUUUGGGAGGAGACAUUUGAGUGUGUGGACCACAAAUCCUAUUCUCAUUUGGAUUGUUUGUUUCUUCAGGCAGUUUGUAUGCUCAGUACCUAAAGUGGAUUACUUGACCUUGAGACAUGGGUUUGUCACGGCACACUUGGCACCUCAAAAUCACCAUAAGUUUGAUUUUAUGCAAUACAUUGAAAGAACAUUGGAAGAGGACUUCAAAGUUGUUGUAGAAAUCAGGUUCAUGUGAUGAUUACUAUAUGUAUUUUAACAAUUAACUACCAAUACAUUAAUUAAGUGAAUUUAUAAUUACGUGCUUUUAUUUUAUUUCCAAUUAUUUGUUGAUUCAGUCCUCCAAUCUGGUUCAUCACAGUGUUGUUUCUCCUGUUUCACACGCAUGGUAAGUCAAUACAAUAAUAAUACUACAUCUUAUUAUAACUACCCACAACACAUAUUAUAUAUAUAUAUUUGUUGGUUUAGUCCUCCAAUCUGGUUCAUCACAGUGUUGUUUCUCCUGUUUCACACCCAUGGUAAGUCAAUACAAUAAUAAUACUACAUCUUAUUAUAACUAUCCACA